rnacentral:rRNA from 1 species
UAAAAAGCUCGUAGUUGGAUCUGUGUAUCGGACGGUCGGUUCGCCGCUCGCGGCGUUCAACUGACCGGUCCGGACGUCCUGCCGGUGGGCUUCUCGGCCCCUCGCGGGGCCGGUCGCCCGUUAACCUUCCCUCCGGGCUGCUCUUAACCGAGUGGCGCGGUGGGCCGGCACGUUUACUUUGAACAAAUUUGAGUGCUCAAAGCAGGCCUCGAGUCGCCUGAAAACUGUGUGCAUGGAAUAAUGGAAUAGGGCCUCUUCUCUAUUUUGUUGGCUUUUCUGAGACAGAGGUAAUGAUUAAUAGGGACAGACGGGGGCAUUCGUAUUGCGACGUUAGAGGUGAAAUUCUUGGAUCGUCGCAAGACGGACGGAUGCGAAAGCGUUUGCCAAGAAUGUUUUCGCUAAUCAAGAACGAAAGUUAGAGGUUCGAAGGCGAUCAGAUACCGCCCUAGUUCUAACCAUAAACGAUGCCAGCCAGCGAUGCGCCGACGUUCCUCCGAUGACUCGGCGCGCAGCUUCCGGGAAACCAAAGCUUUUGGGUUCCGGGG